CGGCGCGCUUAAUACAUGCAAGUCGAACGAGAAGCCAGAGCUUGCUCUGGUGGAAAGUGGCGAACGGGUGAGUAACACGUGAGAAACCUGCCCCAAAGAUUGGGAUAAGCCUUGGAAACGAGGUCUAAUACCAAAUACCUUCCUUUUAACACAUGUUAAAAAGAAGAAAUGCUCCGGCGCUUUGGGAUGGUCUCGCGAUCUAUCAGCUUGUUGGUGAGGUAACGGCUCACCAAGGCAUCGACGGAUAGCUGGUCUGAGAGGAUGUCCAGCCACAUUGGAACUGAGACACGGUCCAAACUCCUACGGGAGGCAGCAGUAGGGAAUCUUGCACAAUGAGGGAAACCUUGAUGCAGCGACGCCGCGUGCGGGACGAAGGCCCUAGGGUUGUAAACCGCUUUCAGUAGGGACGAAAGUGACGGUACCUACAGAAGAAGCCCCGGCCAACUAUGUG
rnacentral:rRNA from 1 species